rnacentral:rRNA from 1 species
UGUGCCCUUCGGGGGAAAGAUUUAUCGCCUUUGGAUUGGCCCGCGUUGGAUUAGGUAGUUGGUGGGGUAAUGGCCUACCAAGCCGACGAUCCAUAGCUGGUUUGAGAGGAUGAUCAGCCACACUGGGACUGAGACACGGCCCAGACUCCUACGGGAGGCAGCAGUGGGGAAUCUUAGACAAUGGGCGCAAGCCUGAUCUAGCCAUGCCGCGUGAUCGAUGAAGGCCUUAGGGUUGUAAAGAUCUUUCAGAUGGGAAGAUAAUGACGGUACCAUCAGAAGAAGCCCCGGCUAACUCCGUGCCAGCAGCCGCGGUAAUACGGAGGGGGCUAGCGUUAUUCGGAAUUACUGGGCGUAAAGCGCACGUAGGCGGAUCAGAAAGUCAGAGGUGAAAUCCCAGGGCUCAACCUUGGAACUGCCUUUGAAACUCCUGGUCUUGAGUUCGAGAGAGGUGAGUGGAAUUCCGAGUGUAGAGGUGAAAUUCGUAGAUAUUCGGAGGAAACACCAGUGGCGAAGGCGGCUCACUGGCUCGAUACUGACGCU